rnacentral:lncRNA from 10 species
AAGGCGGGGCUUUGCAAAGAGAGUAGCCUCUGGUCCUUUUGUUACUCAGGAGUGGAUAGUUAGGGUUUUCCUUUCUAACUAAAUUGUUCUAGGAAGUCAGUGUGAAACGGCCUUAGGUUCUCUGCCUCCAGACCCUAAUCUCCUGCCUCAGUCUCAGGCUACAGGCUGGAGGCAGAAGUGGGAGGAUUGCUUGAGCUCAGGAGGUUGAGGCUGCAGUGAACCGACAUCAUGUCACCGCACUCUAGCCUGGGGAAUUGGACACUCCAGGUGUUGGCCCUUCCUUCUGGUGUUGGACUUUCCGGGUGCCAGGCAGGCCCUGCAUUCCAUCUGUUCAGCAACUCUCCAAGAUAAUGUUUUUCAACAAAUAUUAACCGCCUGGGAGGAAAUACAGAAGUGAACAAUCAAAUGAAAUAAAAAUAAAACUGAUGUUAAUAACAAUAAAGCCUCAAAUAGCAACGAACCCAGAGAGACAUCAACCUGGGCUUCCCAAUCAUCCAGGAGUUGUCCCAGAAAGGAUAAUCCAACAGAUGCAGCAGGCUAGAGUCCAAUGGACCCAUCUCAGCUCACUGCAGCCUUGACCUCCCCAACUCAAGCGAUCUGUCCACCUGCGUCUCCCAAAGUGUUGGGAUUACAGGAGUGAGCCACUGCACCUCGCCACGGAAAAUUUCAAUAAACAGCAUUGGAAUAACUGAUCAACAAUCUGAUGCCCUCAAAAUUAAUUACAGGGUCUAUCAAUCAUCGCCGGGGAUAACUUCCUUCAGAGUCACAUUACCUGAUUAGAAUUCCACUUCCUGUUCUUCAGAAGUCUCGCCUUGGAUAGAUUUGACCUAAGGGAAGCCACUGGAUCCCCAGAGCUAAAGCAAGGUGAGAGAAGCUAGCCACAAGUUUAAGAAGGUAAAAGUGACCUGGAAGGAAGUGUGUCUAAGGCACCUAGGAGGC